GCUCUAGGGGCCUAGUGGUUAGAGCGUCCGCAUCGGAUGCGGGAGGUAGUGGGUUCGAUCCCCGACCUAGUCAUGCC